CACGUAGGGCGCAAGCGUUGUCCGGAAUUAUUGGGCGUAAAGAGCUCGUAGGCGGUCUGUGCGUCCGCUGUGAAACUCGGGGCUUAACCCCGAGCCUCGCAGUGGAUACGGGCAGACUAGAGGUAGGUAGGGGAGAAUGGAAUUCCCGGUGUAGCGGUGAAAUGCGCAGAUAUCGGGAGGAACACCGGUGGCGAAGGCGGUUCUCUGGGCCUUACCUGACGCUGAGGAGCGAAAGCGUGGGGAGCGAACAGG
rnacentral:rRNA from 1 species